rnacentral:lncRNA from 1 species
AAAUAUUUGGUUUGUGAAACUAACUAUUUAGCAAAUGUGUAAUCGUGAUUGCUUACAGACUGAGUUUUGGCAGAUAAAAACCGGAAGAGCAAUGUUUUAAAAAUUACACUGCCAGUCGUUUCAAGUUUGCUCAUAAUCAUAUGCGUGUGCCUUGCUUGGAUCUGCAGCUUUGGAGGUAAAACACAGUGCCAUACAUUCUCGGUGUAUUUCCCUCAAGCAUGUUUGCGAAGGCCAAUGCUAUUCCAUAUUUCUAUGUGAUAUGUUCCUCUACUAUAACGUUUGCAUCAAUGUUCCUGACAGGCAAACAAAGAAACAAGAAAAUUUGGAAGAAGCUGAUGUCAGUAACUUCAAGCACUUCUACUGAACUUCGUGAUGGAAACUUAAAGUAUCCUUUUAUUAACUUCAAAGAAAUUGUACUUGCAACAAACAAUUUCUCUAACUCCAACAUGCUUGGACAUGGAGGUUUUGGCAAUGUUUACAAGGUAACGUGGAAUUUUCUCUUAUAGAGCAACAUAACUGUAUUUCCGUCUUGUUUGACUUAAAAGUAUGCAAGUGUCCAGGCGACAUUAGAAGAUGGUACAGAAUUUGCUGUGAAAAGGCUUAGUAAGGGUUCUGGACAGGGGGAACUGGAGUUCAGAAAUGAAGUAAUACUCAUUGCGAAGUUGCAGCACAAAAACUUGGUUAGACUUCUCGGUUUCUGCAUCCACGGAGAUGAGAAACUAUUGAUAUAUGAAUACUUACCUAACAAAAGUCUGGACGCCAUGCUUUUUGGUAUGUUCUGCUUACGUCUUGCCAAAUUUCAGUAAGUAAUGAAAUCAACCAAAAUAACUGAUUAUCCCUCAAUUGAUGCUACUGGUAGCAGAUGCCACAAGAAAAUCAAUGCUUGAUUGGCCAAUAAGAUUCGAGAUAACCAAAGGGGUAGCUAGAGGACUUCUUUAUCUUCAUCAAGAUUCAAGAUUGAAGAUAAUUCACAGGGAUCUCAAAGCAAGCAACAUAUUAUUAGAUGCCGAAAUGAGCCCUAAGAUAUCUGACUUUGGUAUGGCAAGGAUAUUUGGCGGCAAUCAGCAGCAAGAAAAUACCAACCGCGUAGUUGGCACAUAGUAAGUGGUAUACUGCAUCAAUCAUGUUUAUGCAUUGUUCCUGUGCUUGACUAAAAUUAUGUUCUGUGUUCAAACAGUGGUUACAUGCCGCCUGAAUAUGUUUUGAAAGGAGUGUUUUCUGUCAAGUCUGACGUAUAUAGCUUUGGAGUUUUACUACUGGAGAUUGUGAGUGGCUCAAAGAUCAGCUCGGUGCACCUAAAAGCAGACUUCUCCAGCAUUAUAGCCUAUGUAAGUAAAAUGGCAUGUUCAAAUUUCUGCAAGUACAGUAAAUAUAUGCAUCUUGAAAGGGAUAAGAAUGGAUGCAGGCAUGGAGCUUAUGGAAGAAUGGGAACACAAAGGAUUUUGUUGACUCGUCAAUUGUGGACAGCUGUUCACUUAAUGAAACUAUACGGUGCGUCCAUAUCGGUCUCUUGUGUGUUCAAGGCAGCCCAAAUGCGCGGCCUCUCGUGUCGUCAAUCAUGUCCUUUCUGGAGAAUGGAGAUAUAUCACUUCCACCUCCAAAAGAGCCUAUGUAUUUUGCAGAAGAUAACCAUGGUGCUGAUGGAGCAGCAGAAAAUACUGUGAAUUCUAGAAAUAACAUGAGCAUUACAGCACUAGAGGGACGCUAGUGCCUAGCAGUGCCGUGUGUACUUUGUACAACUGUAUACUGGAUAAGAAACUGGUAUAUGUCUUGAAGAGCAAGAAGCUUUGUUUUAAUAUAAAUAAUGUAUCUCGACCCCAGGAGCCCACGGAAAAUGGGAGAGGUCUCAGUGUUCUCAUUAAAGACCCUUCUCAGCAAGAAUUUUGGAUGCAUAAAAGAAAGCAAGUUAACCAACCAAUUGAAAUUUUGUACACUUGCAGAAAAGGAUAGUUGAAUUGUAUAUUUUGACAUUUUGCAUCCAGUAUGUCUGUUAGUCAGAGCACCAUAGAGGUUCCUUUCAAGGGAUAAAAGACAACUGGUGAUUUGUGGAAAACUGAAAAACAUGCCAGUGGCUGGUUUCUUCUUCCAGGCAUUACCGCAAACACCUUCUACCCACAACUCUAAGCUCACUGCUCACGGGCAACAUUCAUCUACGACAACCUCAACGCGAGAUUUCUUCCAUUAAUUCGCAUCAAAUAGGGUGCAAGAAACAACUAGAGAGUCGUAUGGCUUAGAGCACGCACCUUUGAGAAGCUCUCGCUCCACCCGGACGGACGGCCUCGCCCGCUAAGCCGUCGGCGUGGCGUGGCGGCGCGUCUUGGCCUGCUCCCGUCCAUAUCUGCCGCCUGAGCCCGUACUGGCUGCCAAAUGUGAGGCCGGGAGGAGGAAGAAGGUUGCGCCACCAUCAUUUGCUCCCCCUCCUCCUCCCGCCGGAGAUGCGGCGU